AUGCUAAUCUCUCUUUCUCCGACCAAACUCUCUCCGCCUCUGUUCACCAGUUCCGAUUUUCACCAUCUCCGACUCCGACUCCGUUCACCAGUUCCACAGAUACUUCCUCUAUCAGCUUUCGAACUUUGCAACUCUACUCCCUCCGACUCUGACUCCAACUCCGACGUUGCAAGGCUAAACUCCUGCUUUCAUCUACUACUUUAA